rnacentral:rRNA from 1 species
UCGCCUGUUUAUCAAAAACAUAGCCCAAAGAUUUAUUUUGGGUAAAUUCUGCCCAGCGUAAUUUAUUAGCGGCCGCAGUACUUUGACUGUGCUAAGGUAGCAUAAUCAAUUGGCUUUUAAUUGUAGUCUGGAAUGAAAGGACUAAUAGGGGUUAGCUGUCUCUAUACUAUUAUUUUGAAUUUAUUUAUUAAGUGAAAAUACUUAUACAAAGAAAAAAGACGAGAAGACCCUUAGAAUUUUAAUAAAAUAUUUAAUAAUUUUUUUUUGUUGGGGCGACAUUGAAACAAUUAAACUUUCAUUAACAAUCAAGACAUUUAGGUUUGAAAGAAUAAAUUACCUUAGGGAUAACAGCAUAAUUAAUUAUUUAGUUUGUGACCUCGAUGUUGGACUAGGAACUAGAAGAUUAACCGUCUAAAUAGAUGUCGUC